ACUCAAAGGAAUUGACGGGGGCCCGCACAAGCGGAGGAGCAUGUGGUUUAAUUCGAUGAUACGCGAGGAACCUUACCCGGGCUUGAAUUGCAGCAGAAUAACAUGGAAACAUGUUAGUCUUUCGGGACUGCUGUGAAGGUGCUGCAUGGUUGUCGUCAGCUCGUGCCGUGAGGUGUUAGGUUAAGUCCUGCAACGAGCGCAACCCUUACACUUAGUUGCCAGCACGUAAAGGUGGGAACUCUAUGUGAACUGCCUACGCAAGUAGAGAGGAAGGUGGGGAUGACGUCAAAUCAGCACGGCCCUUAUGUUCGGGGCUACACACGUGCUACAAUGGUCGGUACAGAGGGCAGCUACCCCGCGAGGGGAUGCGAAUCUCAAAAGCCGAUCUCAGUUCGGAUCGGAGUCUGUAACUCGACUCCGUGAAGUUGGAUUCGCUAGUAAUCGCGCAUCAGCCAUGGCGCGGUGAAUACGUUCCCGGGCCUUGCACACACCGCCCGU
rnacentral:rRNA from 1 species